UCCCCCGUGGCGCAAUUGGCUAGCGCGUUCGACUGUUAACUCCCAUAAGUUAUAUCGAGAGGUUGGUGGUUCGAGCCCACCCGGAGGAG
rnacentral:tRNA from 1 species